CUCUUGAGAGCGGCGGACGGGUGAGUAAUGCCUAGGAAUCUGCCUGGUAGUGGGGGAUAACGUUCGGAAACGGACGCUAAUACCGCAUACGUCCUACGGGAGAAAGCAGGGGACCUUCGGGCCUUGCGCUAUCAGAUGAGCCUAGGUCGGAUUAGCUAGUUGGUGAGGUAAUGGCUCACCAAGGCGACGAUCCGUAACUGGUCUGAGAGGAUGAUCAGUCACACUGGAACUGAGACACGGUCCAGACUCCUACGGGAGGCAGCAGUGGGGAAUAUUGGACAAUGGGCGAAAGCCUGAUCCAGCCAUGCCGCGUGUGUGAAGAAGGUCUUCGGAUUGUAAAGCACUUUAAGUUGGGAGGAAGGGCAGUAAAUUAAUACUUUGCUGUUUUGACGUUACCGACAGAAUAAGCACCGGCUAACUCUGUGCCAGCAGCCGCGGUAAUACAGAGGGUGCAAGCGUUAAUCGGAAUUACUGGGCGUAAAGCGCGCGUAGGUGGUUUGUUAAGUUGGAUGUGAAAUCCCCGGGCUCAACCUGGGAACUGCAUUCAAAACUGACUGACUAGAGUAUGGUAGAGGGUGGUGGAAUUUCCUGUGUAGCGGUGAAAUGCGUAGAUAUAGGAAGGAACACCAGUGGCGAAGGCGACCACCUGGACUAAUACUGACACUGAGGUGCGAAAGCGUGGG
rnacentral:rRNA from 1 species